CUUCUUUGCUGGCGACCGGCGCACGGGUGAGUAACACGUAUCCAACCUGCCCUUUACUCGGGGAUAGCCUUUCGAAAGGAAGAUUAAUACCCGAUAGUAUAAUGAUUCCGCAUGGUUUCAUUAUUAAAGGAUUCCGGUAAAGGAUGGGGAUGCGUUCCAUUAGGUUGUUGGUGAGGUAACGGCUCACCAAGCCUUCGAUGGAUAGGGGUUCUGAGAGGAAGGUCCCCCACAUUGGAACUGAGACACGGUCCAA
rnacentral:rRNA from 1 species